rnacentral:rRNA from 1 species
UACAGAGGUCUCAAGCGUUGUUCGGAUUCAUUGGGCGUAAAGCGUCCGUAGGUGGCUAGUCAAGUCUGCGGUCAAAGACUGGGGCUUAACCCUGGAAAGGCCGUGGAAACUGACGAGCUAGAGUGCAGUAGGGGUAGAGGGAAUUCCCGGUGUAGCGGUGAAAUGCGUAGAGCUCGGGAAGAACAUCGGUGGCGAAAGCGCUCUACUGGACUGCAACUGACACUCAGGGACGAAAGCUAGGGGAGCGAAUGGG